GAAAGACAAGACCGAUAAAUCCGUGGGGGGAUGCACGAAAUUAGUUAAAAGCCGGCUCCGUGGGGUUAGGGGGCGCCCCCCAUCUUUUGAGGGAUGAGUGAAAAAGAUUUGCAUAUUUGG
ensembl:ncRNA F43D2.8 ncRNA